rnacentral:rRNA from 1 species
AACGAACGCUGGCGGCAUGCCUUACACAUGCAAGUCGAACGGCAGCACGGGGCAACCUGGUGGCGAGUGGCGAACGGGUGAGUAAUGCAUCGGAACGUACCUUUCAGUGGGGGAUAACGUAGCGAAAGUUACGCUAAUACCGCAUAUUCUGUGAGCAGGAAAGCAGGGGAUCGCAAGACCUUGCGCUGAUUGAGCGGCCGAUGUCAGAUUAGCUAGUUGGUGAGGUAAAGGCUCACCAAGGCGACGAUCUGUAGCGGGUCUGAGAGGAUGAUCCGCCACACUGGAACCGGGACACGGUCCAGACUCCUACGGGAGGCAGCAGUGGGGAAUUUUGGACAAUGGGGGCAACCCUGAUCCAGCCAUGCCGCGUGAGUGAAGAAGGCCUUCGGGUUGUAAAGCUCUUUCGGCCGGGAAGAAAUCGCACGGGCUAAUACCCUGUGUGGAUGACGGUACCGGAAUAAGAAGCACCGGCUAACUACGUGCCAGCCGCCGCCGUAA